rnacentral:rRNA from 1 species
UACGGGGGGGGCAAGCGUUGUUCGGAAUUACUGGGCGUAAAGGGCGCGUAGGCGGGCCAUCAAGUCAGGGGUGAAAUCUUUCGGCUCAACCGGAAAAGUGCCUUUGAUACUGGUGGUCUCGAGGGAGGUAGGGGCAUGCGGAACUUCCGGUGGAGCGGUGAAAUGCGUAGAUAUCGGAAGGAACGCCGGUGGCGAAAGCGGCGUGCUGGACCUCUUCUGACGCUGAGGCGCGAAAGCUAGGGGAGCAAACGGG